rnacentral:rRNA from 1 species
AGAGUUUGAUCAUGGCUCAGAACGAACGCUGGCGGCAGGCCUAACACAUGCAAGUCGAACGCCCCGCAAGGGGAGUGGCAGACGGGUGAGUAACACGUGGAAACAUGCCCUUCGGUACGGAAUAACUCAGGGAAACUUGUGCUAAUACCGUAUACGUCCGAGAGGAGAAAGAUUUAUCGCCGAAGGAUUGGCCCGCGUCUGAUUAGCUAGUUGGUGAGGUAAUGGCUCACCAAGGCGACGAUCAGUAGCUGGUCUGAGAGGAUGAUCAGCCACAUUGGGACUGAGACACGGCCCAAACUCCUACGGGAGGCAGCAGUGGGGAAUAUUGGACAAUGGGCGCAAGCCUGAUCCAGCCAUGCCGCGUGAGUGAUGAAGGCCUUAGGGUUGUAAAGCUCUUUUACCCGGGAAGAUAAUGACUGUACCGGGAGAAUAAGCCCCGGCUAACUUCGUGCCAGCAGCCGCGGUAAUACGAAGGGGGCUAGCGUUGUUCGGAUUUACUGGGCGUAAAGCGCACGUAGGCGGAUCUUUAAGUCAGAGGUGAAAUCCCAAGGCUCAACCUUGGAACUGCCUUUGAUACUGGGGAUCUUGAGUUCGGAAGAGGUGAGUGGAACUGCGAGUGUAGAGGUGAAAUUCGUAGAUAUUCGCAAGAACACCAG